rnacentral:sRNA from 1 species
GAGGGCGAUGAGAGCGGGUACUGCGAACUGCUGGGCGAUGCUGUCGCUGCCGCCGUGAUACGGAGAGCAACAGUUCCCCAGCAACACCCCUCCCCGACACAGGCACACACCCCCCGACAGGCACGCACACCCACCCCACAGUGCCCGGCUCGGCUGCGCCUCCUCUAUUGGCCCAGGAAGCCCACCCAGCCCCGCCACGCAGAGCCCAGAAGGAAAGAAAGCCUCAUGCCUGAGCCGAGGGGAGCACCAUGGAUCUGACAAAAAUGGGCAUGAUCCAGCUGCAGAACCCUAGCCACCCCACGGGGCUACUGUGCAAGGCCAACCAGAUGCGGCUGGCCGGGACUUUGUGCGAUGUGGUCAUCAUGGUGGACAGCCAGGAGUUCCACGCCCACCGGACGGUGCUGGCCUGCACCAGCAAGAUGUUUGAGAUCCUCUUCCACCGCAAUAGUCAACACUAUACUUUGGACUUCCUCUCGCCAAAGACCUUCCAGCAGAUUCUGGAGUAUGCAUAUACAGCCACGCUGCAAGCCAAGGCGGAGGACCUGGAUGACCUGCUGUAUGCGGCCGAGAUCCUGGAGAUCGAGUACCUGGAGGAGCAGUGCCUGAAGAUCCUGGAGACCAUCCAGGCCUCAGACGACAAUGACACGGAGGCCACCAUGGCCGAUGGCGGGGCCGAGGAAGAAGAGGACCGCAAGGCUCGGUACCUCAAGAACAUCUUCAUCUCGAAGCAUUCCAGCGAGGAGAGUGGGUAUGCCAGUGUGGCUGGACAGAGCCUCCCUGGGCCCAUGGUGGACCAGAGCCCUUCAGUCUCCACUUCAUUUGGUCUUUCAGCCAUGAGUCCCACCAAGGCUGCAGUGGACAGUUUGAUGACCAUAGGACAGUCUCUCCUGCAGGGAACUCUUCAGCCACCUGCAGGGCCCGAGGAGCCAACUCUGGCUGGGGGUGGGCGGCACCCUGGGGUGGCUGAGGUGAAGACGGAGAUGAUGCAGGUGGAUGAGGUGCCCAGCCAGGACAGCCCUGGGGCAGCCGAGUCCAGCAUCUCAGGAGGGAUGGGGGACAAGGUUGAGGAAAGAGGCAAGGAGGGGCCUGGGACCCCGACUCGAAGCAGUGUCAUCACCAGUGCUAGGGAGCUACACUAUGGGCGAGAGGAGAGUGCCGAGCAGCUGCCACCCCCAGCUGAGGCUGGCCAGGCCGCCACUGGCCGACCUGAGCACCCAGCACCCCCGCCUGAGAAGCAUCUGGGCAUCUACUCCGUGUUGCCCAACCACAAGGCUGACGCUGUAUUGAGCAUGCCGUCUUCCGUGACCUCUGGCCUCCACGUGCAGCCUGCCCUGGCUGUCUCCAUGGACUUCAGCACCUAUGGGGGGCUGCUGCCCCAGGGCUUCAUCCAGAGGGAGCUGUUCAGCAAGCUGGGGGAGCUGGCUGUGGGCAUGAAGUCAGAGAGCCGGACCAUCGGGGAGCAGUGCAGCGUGUGUGGGGUCGAGCUUCCUGAUAACGAGGCUGUGGAGCAGCACAGGAAGCUGCACAGUGGGAUGAAGACAUACGGGUGCGAGCUCUGCGGGAAGCGGUUCCUGGAUAGUUUGCGGCUGAGAAUGCACUUACUGGCUCAUUCAGCGGGUGCCAAAGCCUUUGUCUGUGAUCAGUGCGGUGCACAGUUUUCGAAGGAGGAUGCCCUGGAGACACACAGGCAGACCCAUACUGGUGAGUUGACUUGGAUUCCUGUUCUCCAGGUUUUCCACAGUGUUGGUAGCACAUGGACAUGAACUGUCUGGGUGGCAACCUCUUUUUAGCAAAUGUGACAUCCAGUAAUUUCCUGGGCGAGCUGUGAGUAGGAUGGGCUUCUGCCACGUUCAGCUACUCUUGUCUGUGUGGCUGGCCCAGCAGAAGUUUACAAGUAUGACAUGGCCCCAUGAGAAUGGCUGUCCUAGAUUAGGCCAAGAUCUGUCUCUAACCGGCCACCGAGAUCUCAUGUUCUUGGAGGUAUCUAGUAUGCUCUUGUUGAGGCCUUAGUCUGUGUUGUUAUCAAAACAUCUUCUUCCCUUGGUCAGGAAAUCUCUCACACCCAUCUGAUGAAACUGAAACCCUCGUGUGGCCACAGUUGGCUGGUCCUCCCUCUGCGAGAGCUGAGACAUUGUCUAAAAUCAGCGUGUACGCAGGAUGCAUUUGAACAACAUUAACUCACGAUGAUAGAGCUUUAUUUGAUUUCAAAGGGAUUGAUUUCACCGCACCAAAGUCAUCUGAUCAUUGUGAUCAGAGUCGUCGUCAUCACAUCAUCACAGCAGCUCACACUUAACACUCACAGUGAGGCAGGCACUGUUCUCAGUGCUUUAUGUCAGGGGUCCCCAACCCUGGGAUCAUGGACUGGUGUCUGUGGUGGUCUGUUAGGAACCAGGCUGCAUGGCAAGAGGCGAGCAGUGGGCAGGCAAGUGAAACUUCAUCUGUAUUUACUGCUGUUCCUCAUUGCUCGCAUUACCACCUGAGCUCCUCCUCAUGUCAGAGCAGCAGCAGCAGCAGCAGCAGCAGCAUUAGAUUCUCAUAGGAGCACAAAUCCUAUUGUGAACUGUGCAUGCAAGGGAUCAAGGUUGCAUGCUCCUUAUGAGAAUCUAAUGCCUGAUGAUCUGUCACUGUCUCUUGUCACCCCCAGAUGGGACCAUCUAGUUGCAGGAAAACAAGCUCAGGGCUCUCACUAAUUCUACAUUAUGUGAGUUGUAUAAUUAGUUCAUUAUAUAUUAUAAUGUAAUAAUAGAAAUAAAGUACACAAUAAAUGUAAUGUGCUUAAAUCAUCCCAGGACCACCCUCCUGUACCCCGCUGUAUGUGAAAAGGUUGUCUUCCAUAAAACUGGUCCCUGGUGCCUAAAAGGUUGGGGACCACUGCUUUACGUGAUCCCAUCUGGCCAAUCUCUCAGUAACCCUGUAAGGUAAGGUUGGAAGCUACUCUUAUGUCAUAGAUGAGGAAACUGAGGCUGAAAGGAGGGAAAGUGACUUGCUGGAGUUGGUAGUGGGGACAGGCGUGGUAGAGUCUUAUAGUUCAGAGCUGAGACUGCAUGGGUUUAAUCCUGACUCUGCUACUUCCUAUUUGUGGGGCCAUGGAUAAAUUAUUUAAACUCUCUUAAUUUAGAUUUCUCAUCUGUUAGAAAAGUGGAGUAAUAUUAGUGUCUACCUCAUAGCAUUAGGGUUGUUGUGGGGAUGAAAUAAGGUAUUUUAUUUGAAGUAUUUCAUGGAGUGUUCGGCUCAUAGUAAGCACUCAAUAAAUAGUAGUAGGUAUAUUUAAUGUAAUAGAUAUUUAUUGAGUUUCGACAAGGUGCUGGCACUGUUUAGGCAUUUAAGAUGUAGUAAUGCAUGAGACAGACAACAUUGCUGCCUCUCAUGGAACUGAGCUUCUAGCUGGGAGACAGAAUCAGCAAAUAAAUAUACGAUAUCAUGUCUGCUUAUACAUAUUAAGUGCUACUAGAAAAGGAUAAGGAGUAGAGAAUAAUAGGGAGAAAAGAAAUAUUGUGGAUAUUUAGGGAGAAAUGUUGUGGAUAAAAUGGUUAGGGAAGGCCUCUCCAAGAAGGUGGUAUCUGGGCAGAGUCUUAAAAAGUGAAGGAGUGAGCCACUCAAAAAUUUCUGGGAAGAAUGUCUAAGCAAAGGGAGUGAGCACUUGCAGAAGCCCUGAGGCUGGAUCAAGCCUGACAAGUUUAAGGACCCACACGCAGAGCAGUGGUGGCCAGAGAGCUGGGAGUGACGUGUAGAGAGUGGUGAGGGAUGAGGACAGGAUCUGUCAAGUCUCUCAGCCCUGGUAAAAGAUUUGGGUUUUACUCUGCAUGUGCUGAGUCCUUUGGAGGGUGACAAAAUAUUUGCAAAUCAUAUAUUUGAUGAGGAACUUAUAGCUAGAAAUAGAAAGAGGGCUUAUAAUUCAAAAAACAUAAACAAAUAAUCAAAUUAAAUAAUGGGCAAAGGUUCUGAACAGACGUGUCUCCAAAGAUAGACAAAUAGCCAAUGAGCACAUGAAAAAGAUGCUCAACUGCAUUCACCAUCAGAGAGAUGCAAAUCAAAACCACAGUGAGAUACUGCUUCACACCCACUACAAUGUGGCUACAAGAAAAAAUACAGAUAGUUACAAGUGUUAUCAAAGAUGUGGAAAAACCAGAACUCUCAUGGGAGUGUAAAAUGGUGUAGCCACUUUGGAAAACAUUCUGGCAAUUCCUCAAGAGGUUAGCUGAGGCAGGCAGAUCACGAGGUCAGGAGAUCGAGACCAUCCUGGCCAACAUGGUGAAAGCCCGUCUCUACUAAAAAAAUACAAAAAUUAGCUGGGCGUGGUGGCAUGUGCUUGUAAUCUCAGCUACUUGGGAGGCUGAGGCAGGAGAAUCACUUGAACCAGGGAGUCGGAAGUUGCAGUGAGCUGAGAUUGAGCCACUGCACUCCAGCCUGGCGUCAGAGUGAGACUCCGUCUC